rnacentral:rRNA from 1 species
UACGGGGGGGGCAAGCGUUGUUCGGAAUUACUGGGCGUAAAGGGCCCGUAGGCGGCCAACUAAGUCGGAUGUGAAAUCCCCAGGCUCAACCUGGGAGCUGCAUCCGAUACUGGAUGGCUUGAAUCCGGGAGAGGGAUGCAGAAUUCCAGGUGUAGCGGUGAAAUGCGUAGAUAUCUGGAGGAAUACCGGUGGCGAAGGCGGCAUCCUGGACCGGCAUUGACGCUGAGGAGCGAAAGCUAGGGGAGCAAACGGG